rnacentral:rRNA from 1 species
UACGUAGGGUGCGAGCGUUGUCCGGAAUUAUUGGGCGUAAAGGGCUCGUAGGCGGUUUGUCACGUCGGGAGUGAAAACUCGGGGCUUAACCCCGAGCCUGCUUCCGAUACGGGCUGACUAGAGGUAUGCAGGGGAGAACGGAAUUCCAGGUGUAGCGGUGAAAUGCGUAGAUAUCUGGAGGAACACCGGUGGCGAAGGCGGCAUCCUGGACCAAUUCUGACGCUGAGACGCGAAAGCGUGGGGAGCGAACAGG